GAUGAAGAACGUAGCGAAAUGCGAUACGUAAUGUGAAUUGCAGAUUUCAGUGAAUCAUCGAAUCUUUGAACGCACAUUGCGCCCGCUAGUAUUCUGGCGGGCAUGCCUGUUCGAGCGUCAUUUCAACCAUCAAGCCCUAGGCUUGCGUUGGAGCCCUGCGGCUGCCGCAGGCUCCCAAAUCCAGUGGCGGGCUCGUCGUCGUACCGAGUGCAGUAAACAUCCUCGCUCAGGGAACGUGACGGGUUCUUGCCGUGAAACCCCCCACAUAUCAAGGUUGACCUCGGAUCAGGUAGGAAUACCCGCUGAACUUAAGCAUAUCAAUAACGGAGGA
rnacentral:misc_RNA from 1 species